AUUGAACGCUGGCGGCAGGCCUAACACAUGCAAGUCGAACGGUAACAGGAAGCAGCUUGCUGCUUUGCUGACGAGUGGCGGACGGGUGAGUAAUGUCUGGGAAACUGCCUGAUGGAGGGGGAUAACUACUGGAAACGGUAGCUAAUACCGCAUAACGUCGCAAGACCAAAGAGGGGGACCUUCGGGCCUCUUGCCAUCGGAUGUGCCCAGAUGGGAUUAGCUAGUAGGUGGGGUAAAGGCUCACCUAGGCGACGAUCCCUAGCUGGUCUGAGAGGAUGACCAGCCACACUGGAACUGAGACACGGUCCAGACUCCUACGGGAGGCAGCAGUGGGGAAUAUUGCACAAUGGGCGCAAGCCUGAUGCAGCCAUGCCGCGUGUAUGAAGAAGGCCUUCGGGUUGUAAAGUACUUUCAGCGGGGAGGAAGGGAGUAAAGUUAAUACCUUUGCUAAUUGACGUUACCCGCAGAAGAAGCACCGGCUAACUCCGUG
rnacentral:rRNA from 1 species